rnacentral:rRNA from 1 species
GACGAACGCUGGCGGCGUGCUUAACACAUGCAAGUCGAACGGGAACCUUUAUUUCGGUAAAGGUGAGAGUGGCAAACGGGUGAGUAACACGUAGGCAACCUGCCGACAGGAUGGGGACAACAUUCCGAAAGGAAUGCUAAUACCGAAUGAAGUCACCGGAGGGCAUCCUCUGGUGAUGAAAGAUGGCCUCUGAAUAUGCUAUCGCCUGUCGAUGGGCCUGCGUCUGAUUAGCCAGUUGGCGGGGUAACGGCCCACCAAAGCGACGAUCAGUAGCCGGUCUGAGAGGAUGAACGGCCACAUUGGGACUGAGACACGGCCCAGACUCCUACGGGAGGCAGCAGUGGGGAAUCUUCCACAAUGGGCGAAAGCCUGAUGGAGCAACGCCGCGUGAGUGAAGAAGGUCUUCGGAUCGUAAAGCUCUGUUGCACGGGACGAAAACCGAGCUUGAAAACAUUGAGUUUGGGGACGUACCGAGCGAGGAGCCAC